rnacentral:snoRNA from 1 species
GAGCUGUGAUGAAAUUGGCUUCAGCGUUGGUUUGGUCCUUCGCAUUCUUCUGAUUUCUCAGAUGUAACGCCACACUCCUGAGCUC